UCUCUUUCCUCUCUCUCUCCCCGAGCUCCCUUCUUCCUCUUUCUUCUUCCUUCAACAUACGGACUACACACAAACAUACUCAAACCAUCACUCUCCGAGGAAACCAACUACACCAUUGAACUCGUGAAGCUCGUACGAGUGCAACCAUACCAUUUUCAGCUUGUAGAUGUCUUAGUGAGGUCCCAAGGAACCUCGGAAUACUUCGUUGGAGAAGUUUGGACGUCGGGAUCAUUGUGGUCAAAGUUGGCCGGAGCUUUCGAGGCUUUUUCCGGCGAAUACACGGCGAGUUAGAGGUCGCGGCAGAAAUUCCGGCAAAAACCCACCGCCAGCGAAACCAGUCCGGCGACGCGAGGAAGAAGACGCGCGCGUGGGCAGCGCGUGAACAGGGCGCGUGGGGGCGCGUGAGACCUCUAAAUUGAGUUCUGAAAAUUGUCACGCGUUCGUGACGUCGUGUAGAUCACCGUGGUGAAAAUUAUACAGAAGAAGAAUGUAACCAAUCUAGGGGAGGCUCAGGGACCCAUGAGACGUCGAUGUGAUCAGUUCAAGUAUUGCAAAGGUGUGGUGACUACGAGGAAAUUCAACGGUGUUCUGAUAGAAUGGACCAAAUGAGGACUCACCUUCGGGUGGUUUAUCUUAGAAGUUGUAUAUUUUAAAGCUUCCGAACUGUGUAAAUGGUUACGUCACUCUCACGUGACGGCCAGCAUGCCCUCCUUCGGGACGGGGUGUGUCAGAAAGUAUAUUAAAAGUCUUUAAUAUAAUGAGACUUUAAAAGCUCAUUAAGCUUGAUAAGGAAAAGAAGGCUAAUUGCCUUGUCGGUUACAACUAGAAGGGGAAUGAAGGAGGAUCCCUAAUCAGACCAGCAGAGGGGCCGUGAGAUAUAAAAAAGCAAAAAAAAAAAAAA